rnacentral:rRNA from 1 species
AGAGCGGGAGCCCGGAGAUGGGCACUGAGACAAGGGCCCAGGCCCUACGGGGCGCAGCAGUCGCGAAAACUCCACAAUGCGCGAAAGCGUGACGGGGCUACCCCGAGUGCCGUCCGCUGAGGAUGGCUUUUUCCCGGUGUAAUGAGCCGGGAGAAUAAGGAGAGGGCAAGUCUGGUGUCAGCCGCCGCGGUAAUACCAGCUCUCCGAGUGGUAGGGAUGAUUAUUGGGCUUAAAGCGUCCGUAGCCGGCCCGGCAAGUCUUCCGUUAAAUCCAACGAUUCAAUCGUUGGACUGCGGGAGAUACUGUUGGGCUAGGGGGCGGGAGAGGCCGACGGUAUUCUAGGGGUAGGGGUAAAAUCCUAUAAUCCCUGGAAGACCACCAGUGGCGAAGGCGGUCGGCU